rnacentral:rRNA from 1 species
GAUGAACGCUGGCGGCGUGCUUAACACAUGCAAGUCGAACGGAAAGGCUCCUGCUUGCAGGGGUACUCGAGUGGCGAACGGGUGAGUAACACGUGGGUGAUCUGCCCUGCACUUCGGGAUAAGCCUGGGAAACUGGGUCUAAUACCGGAUAGGACGAUGGUUUGGAUGCCAUUGUGGAAAGUUUUGCGGUGUGGGAUGAGCUCGCGGCCUAUCAGCUUGUUGGUGGGGUAAUGGCCUACCAAGGCGUCGACGGGUAGCCGGCCUGAGAGGGUGUACGGCCACAUUGGGACUGAGAUACGGCCCAGACUCCUAAGGGAGGCAGCAGUGGGGAAUAUUGCACAAUGGGCGCAAGCCUGAUGCAGCGACGCCGCGUGGGGGAUGACGGCCUUCGGGUUGUAAACUCCUUUCGCUAGGGAAGAAGCGCAAGUGACGGUACCUGGAGAAGAAGCACCGGCUAACUACGUG